GGACAUCUUGAUUAACUGAUCGCUACUGUGUUGACGGUGCUUUCUCCAAGUCAAUUAGAGUCUAGGAAUUUAUUAGAAUGGAGGAAGUGCAAGGAGUAUCUUUUAGUAUGGAUUAGCCAUUUUAAAUCUAUACAAUGCAUAAAAAAAAUAGAGUGGCGUUGCAGGAUCCAGCUUACAACCCUAUGUAGAUAUUGCAAUAUUAUACUCAAC